rnacentral:rRNA from 1 species
GAUGAACGCUGGCGGCGUGCCUAAUACAUGCAAGUCGAGCGAACAGACGAGGAGCUUGCUCCUCUGACGUUAGCGGCGGACGGGAGAGUAACACGUGGAUAACCUACCUAUAAGACUGGGAUAACUUCGGGAAAUCGGAGCUAAUACCGGAUAAUAUAUUGAACCGCAUGGUUCAAUAGUGAAAGACGGUUUUGCUGUCACUUAUAGAUGGAUCCGCGGCGCAUUAGCUAGUUGGUAAGGUAACGGCUUACCAACGCAACGAUGCGUAGCCGACCUGAGAGGGUGAUCGGCCACACUGGAACUGAGACACGGUCCAGACUCCUACGGGAGGCAGCAGUAGGGAAUCUUCCGCAAUGGGCGAAAGCCUGACGGAGCAACGCCGCGUGAAUGAUGAAGGUCUUCGGAUCGUAAAACUCUGUUAUUAGGGAAGAACAAAUGUGUAAGUAACUAUGCACGUCUUGACGGUACCUAAUCAGAAAGCCACGGCUAACUACGUG